rnacentral:rRNA from 1 species
GUGGGGAAUAUUGGACAAUGGGCGAAAGCCUGAUCCAGCCAUGCCGCGUGUGUGAAGAAGGUCUUCGGAUUGUAAAGCACUUUAAGUUGGGAGGAAGGGCAUUAACCUAAUACGUUAGUGUUUUGACGUUACCGACAGAAUAAGCACCGGCUAACUUCGUGCCAGCAGCCGCGGUAAUACGAAGGGUGCAAGCGUUAAUCGGAAUUACUGGGCGUAAAGCGCGCGUAGGUGGUUCGUUAAGUUGGAUGUGAAAGCCCCGGGCUCAACCUGGGAACUGAAUACAAAACUGGCGAGCUAGAGUACGGUAGAGGGUGGUGGAAUUUCCUGUGUAGCGGUGAAAUGCGUAGAUAUAGGAAGGAACACCAGUGGCGAAGGCGACCACCUGGACUGAUACUGACACUGAGGUGCGAAAGCGUGGGGAGCAAACAGGAUUAGAAACCCGAGUAGUCC